UACGUAGGGUGCGAGCGUUGCCCGGAUUUAUUGGGCGUAAAGGGCGCGUAGGCGGCUCUGCACGUCCGUUGUGAAAUCGCCCGGCUCAACUGGGCGGGGUCAGCGGAUACGGCGGAGCUUGAGCAAGCUAGGGGGCAAUGGAAUUCCCGGUGUAGUGGUGGAAUGCGUAGAUAUCAGGAGGAACACCCAUGGCGAAGGCGGCUCACUGGUCCGAUACUGACGCUGAGGUGCGAAAGCGUGGGGAGCAAACAGG
rnacentral:rRNA from 1 species